rnacentral:rRNA from 1 species
UGAGGAGUAUUGGACAAUGGUGGGAACACUGAUCCAGCCAUGCCGCGUGCAGGAUGACUGCCCUAUGGGUUGUAAACUGCUUUUAUACAGGAAGAAACCCACUUACGUGUAAGUGGCUGACGGUACUGUAAGAAUAAGGAUCGGCUAACUCCGUGCCAGCAGCCGCGGUAAUACGGAGGAUCCGAGCGUUAUCCGGAAUCAUCGGGUUUAAAGGGUCCGCAGGCGGGCUGUUAAGUCAGGGGUGAAAGUUUGCCGCUCAACGGUAAAACGGCCUUUGAUACUGAUGGUCUUGAAUGAUUGUGAAGUGGAUAGAAUGUGUAGUGUAGCGGUGAAAUGCAUAGAUAUUACACAGAAUACCGAUUGCGAAGGCAGUCCACUAACAAUGUAUUGACGCUGAGGGACGAAAGCGUGGGUAGCGAACGGGAUUAGAUACCCCCGUAGUCC